CAGCAGCCGCGGUAAUACGUAGGUGGCAAGCGUUGUCCGGAAUUAUUAGGCGUAAAGGGCUCGCAGGCGGUUCCUUAAGUCUGAUGUGAAAGCCCCCGGCUCAACCGGGGAGGGUCAUUGGAAACUGGGAAACUUGAGUGCAGAAGAGGAGAGUGGAAUUCCACGUGUAGCGGUGAAAUGCGUAGAGGUGUGGAGGAACACCAGUGGCGAAGGCGACUCUCUGGUCUGUAACUGACGCUGAGGAGCGAAAGCGUGGGGAGCGAACAGGAUUAGAUACCCCCGUAGUCCCUGUCUCUUAUAC
rnacentral:rRNA from 1 species